UUAAAAUAUAUUAAAGUUGAAUAUAUUUAAAUAGAUAAUUAGAUUGAAAUAAUAUUAUAUUCUAUUAAAUAAUUAAAUAAUAAAUAUUUAACACAUAGAUUUAAAUUAAAUGAAAUAGUGUAUUUUAACGUGCGCUGGCCACGAGGGGCGUUAACGUGAUGUUACGUGAGUGACGUAAACGUGAUGGCAAAAAAAAAAAAAAAAAAAAAUUAAAAAACGUAAACGUAACGUGAUGGCGCAAAUAACCACGAAGACGGAAGAAUAAUUCUGUUUAUUACAAAAGACUGAAGAUAUAACUGCCGCCAUCCUUUAAUUUAUUUAUUUCUACGUUGAGGACACUUUAUAAACCUACAGAGAUACCGGACCAACGAACGACCUUCACAACGGGACGGAGCUAACGUAAUUAACGUUAACGGUUACUUGGAAAUUCAAACAGUAACGGUCAACUGACAACUGCGCUGAGCCAAAGGUAAGAAUGAAUGUGCUUUUAUUCAUCGUUUUAUCAAUCUAAUGUUAAAUUUCACUUCAGUUUAAUAUUUCAAAUUAUUUAUUUGGAUUAUAAAGAUUAUAUAUUUUCAAAUUCCUCUUUUUGUAAUUGUACAUAACGUUAUCCCUGUUGGUUAAUUUGAGGUGGUCCAAGUUACAGUCUGAGGACGGGAACAGCAACAAGAGUUUAACUUCUGAUUCGUAAUCUACACACUCUACUGGGCAGUUCAUGAAGACAGAUGUUGUGACGACCAGGACAGUUCCUCCUACCACACCAGACUUUGCUGUAUAUGGAUGCCUGACCACUAGCACUGGACAUUUACAACAUUUUGGCGCCAGGGAUCCCUUGCAGAGAAGAUUUUUCAAAGACACCCUCAGAAUUACAACAGAUUUUAAGGCUUAAAAUUAUUGUGGGUGGGAGUAUAAUGAACAUAAUAUGAUUGUUUUAUUUUAUUAUUAUUAUUUAUUUUUAAAUAGUUCCCAUUUUUUAAUAAUACAUUUGUUUAAUAAUACAGCACAAUAUAGGGCUAAGUUGCACCAGGUCAGGAAAAAACACAUAAGUUGCAUCCGUGUAUAAGACACAUUUUACUAUUAAUUUCAGAAAUAAUUUAAAUACUGAUAAA